CGGCAUGCUUAACACAUGCAAGUCGCACGGGCGGGGGCAACUCCGUCAGUGGCGGACGGGUGAGUAACGCGUAGGAAUCUAUCCUUGAAUGGGGGACAACCGUGGGAAACUACGGCUAAUACCGCAUGAUGCCUGAGGGCCAAAGACGAAAGUCGUUUGAGGAGGAGCCUGCGUCUGAUUAGGUAGUUGGUGGGGUAAAGCCUACCAAGCCUGCGAUCAGUAGCUGGUCUGAGAGGAUGAUCAGCCACAUUGGGACUGAGACACGGCCCAAACUCCUACGGGAGGCAGCAGUGGGGAAUAUUGGACAAUGGGCGCAAGCCUGAUCCAGCAAUGCCGCGUGGGUGAAGAAGGUCUUCGGAUUGUAAAGCCCUUUUGGCGGGGACGAUGAUGACGGUAUCCGCAGAAUAAGCUCCGGCUAACUUCGUG
rnacentral:rRNA from 1 species